GAAACUGGGUAUCUUGAGGACAGGAGAGGAAAGUGGAAUUUCCACGUGUAGCGGUGAAAUGCGUAGAUAUGUGGAGGAACACCAGUGGCGAAGGCGACUUUCUGGACUGUAACUGACGCUGAGGCGCGAAAGCGUGGGGAGCAAAUAGGAUUAGAUACCCUGGUAGUCCACGCCGUAAACGAUGAGUGCUAGGUGUAGAGGGUAUCGACCCCUUCUGUGCCGCAGUUAACACAAUAAGCACUCCGCCUGGGGAGUACGGCCGCAAGGUUGAAACUCAAAGGAAUUGACGGGGGCCCGCACAAGCGGUGGAGCAUGUGGUUUAAUUCGACGCAACGCGAAGAACCUUACCAGGGCUUGACAUCCUGCGAACUUUCUAGAAAUAGAGAGGUGCCCUUCGGGGAGCGUAGAGACAGGUGGUGCAUGGUUGUCGUCAGCUCGUGUCGUGAGAUGUUGGGUUAAGUCCCGCAACGAGCGCAACCCCUGUAUUUAGUUGCUAACGAGUAAGGUCGAGCACUCUAGAUAGACUGCCGGUGAUAAACCGGAGGAAGGUGGGGAUGACGUCAAAUCAUCAUGCCCCUUAUGUCCUGGGCUACACACGUGCUACAAUGGCCGGUACAGACGGAAGCGAAGCUGUGAAGCGGAGCUAAUCCGAGAAAGCCGGUCUCAGUUCGGAUUGCAGGCUGCAACUCGCCUGCAUGAAGUCGGAAUCGCUAGUAAUCGCAGGUCAGCAUACUGCGGUGAAUACGUUCCCGGGCCUUGUACACACCGCCCGUCACACCACGAAAGUCUGCAACACCCGAAGCCGGUGAGGUAACCCGCAAGGGAGCUAGCCGUCGAAGGUGGGGCCGAUGAUUGGGGUGAAGUCGUAACAAGGUAGCCG
rnacentral:rRNA from 1 species